rnacentral:rRNA from 1 species
GACGAACGCUGGCGGCGUGCUUAACACAUGCAAGUCGAACGGAAAGGCCCUGCUUUUGUGGGGUGCUCGAGUGGCGAACGGGUGAGUAACACGUGAGUAACCUGCCCUUGACUUUGGGAUAACUUCAGGAAACUGGGGCUAAUACCGGAUAGGAGCUCCUGCUGCAUGGUGGGGGUUGGAAAGUUUCGGCGGUUGGGGAUGGACUCGCGGCUUAUCAGCUUGUUGGUGGGGUAGUGGCUUACCAAGGCUUUGACGGGUAGCCGGCCUGAGAGGGUGACCGGCCACAUUGGGACUGAGAUACGGCCCAGACUCCUACGGGAGGCAGCAGUGGGGAAUAUUGCACAAUGGGCGGAAGCCUGAUGCAGCAACGCCGCGUGCGGGAUGACGGCCCUCGGGUUGUAAACUGCUUUCGCCUGUGACGAAGCGUGAGUGACGGUAAUGGGUAAAGAAGCACCGGCUAACUACGUG